AAAAUAAAACCAAAAAGCAUCUCUAGAAGAACUUGAAAAAAUCAAGAAAACCCUCACAAAUCGUCUAGACUACCAUGAGCCACCACUGACUCGGUCUUGUAAUUUCAAAUUAACUUCUCUUAAAUAUGUGAUUUAUAGGUGACCAUUUACACAGCCCUUAUCUGUGAUUUCAAAGGUGAUCAGUUCAAAGCUUAAUAAAUCUUUCUGAUACUGAAUUUUUAAACCUUUGAAAUCCUAUAUUUCUGUCGUGUUCUAUUAACACUGAAGCAAAGCUGUAUGAUUAAGAGAAAACUCCGUCUCUCCUGAUGAUUAAAUUUCAGUAAUUGAACAUAAAAACAUUUGGAACAAGCAGCGCCAUAUAAAUGAACUGUCAGCGCACAUUACGACAUUACAACGUUGCUUAGGUAAGAAAACGCUCCCUGAAGAAGUUGGCACAACGAGGAGCCAAUGGGAAAAACAGAGGAAGUGAGCCGUCACCGCGGUAAUGAGCAGGAAUUCCAUUAAGGCCCCGGGCCAGGUAUGCGAAGGAGGUGUGAUUGAUAUGCUGGACUUGGAGAUUAAUUGUGUGAGACAUGCUGAGGCCUUGCCCACACGCAGCUACCAUCUAGCCCCGCUGUAUUUGGUAUCCAAGUCUGACUGAAGUGCUGUUUACAGAGCCCUUGCUCUUGCUAGCUCUUUUCUUUUAAAAGCUAAGGAUUUUGUUUCAGCCAGUGUCAGCAAGGGAGCGCGUGCUUGAGGAGAAGAGAAAUAGUCGUGUUCAGGGUGAGUCUCACGUUAAGAUGCAAUUAGUGUUAACUUUUAGUGUCAACAACAAUUUAAAAAGCUACAUUUCAAACAAGAACAAGGAUGACAAUGACCAUGAGAUCAUCAAGCCCCUGUGCACCUAUCAGCAGAUCCCUUUGGACACCGCCAAUAAGGGGAGUCUAGACAGGGGGAAAAUGAAGCUGCUGUCUACAAGGAACUCGGCUGAAACCGUGCCAGCGAAGUCCGUAACACUUUUCCUCUCAGCCUGCACGAGCUCAGUGAACACCAGAACCGCGUUUUCUCACUGCAUCUACCCUCAAGGCUCACCGCAGCGAAGUUCUUUGUUAAGUGCGUCAAUGAACUAGGCCUGGCUCUAAGAGGAUGGAUGUUGGUGUAAAUGACAGCAAAGGGAGCUUCGCGUAAGAUUUCACUGGUGUUCAAAGACAAGCUAAUGUAACCUCACUGCGGUGCCAUCAGCUUGACAAAUGGACACCAUGCAACCUCUGCCUCCCACUGAAACCCAAGAGCUUGAUUUACACAGUAUUCUCCCUGUAGAUGGAAAAAGACUUCAUGCUGCUAAGCUGUAUAAUGGGUUGAUCUGUUAAUUUUUUGCAUGCAAUGAAAUUUAAUAAUAUGGAGGUGAAAAGCAUCUCAAAGAAUGAAGCUAGCUAAUGAACUAAUAAAGUGAUCCUUAAGUCUUUUAAAACUUGAAUAAACAGAGAAGGGGACAGCUCAAUCCAUGUUGAGCAGGCGUAGCAGUUCUCAUGUUAACUGCAAAGAUAUAUGGGCUUUACUUACAAUGAAUAAAAGAGCCGAGCUCUACGGAGCAGAGCUCUGUUCAAACAAGUCACUGUAAUCUGUAGAACUUGGUGUGCCUUAUCUUUACCAUCAGAGUCUGCUGGUCCUCAGUUCUUUACUUCAAGAAUUUUACAUUACUUUAUGUUGUUAAAUUAUUUGCCUGGACGCUCAAUAUUAAUCCUUUUAAAGUGGGAAGUUAAGAGUUUAUACUACCAGGCAAAAUUAACAAUCUCAUCUGUAACACAAAAAUCAUAAAAGUCAGAGCUUCUUAAGAAAUACUGCUUUAAAAGGAUCAUGUAAGUUCUUGCUCAAAGUAUGAAUUAUUUCAGAAAGAAAUUCAAGGGAUAGCACAUUGUGCAGGCAGGGCUGACUGAAACCCUCAGCAGUGGAACUAUCGACAUCAACGCUUGCAAGUAAGCACGGCGAAGGCACACACAAUCAGCAGCAGGGUUAGCACAUGCAAACGUUGGGUAAGGUAGAACUGAGUCCUAUAUUUACUCUGCUGUUGUCACAAAUAAAAAAAGCACUUAUGAAAACAUUUCAUGCUGAAGUGAAUGGAUUUCAACAGCUGCUGAUUUGGUGACAUGCGGGACCCCAGAGGAGACAUCCUGCUGAAUUAACGUUUUGGAAAUGUUAAAAAGAAACUUCAAACAGACCCUGUUUAGCAGGCGGUCAAAGAUUUGGCUCGGUGGGGAUCAUGUGAAGGCCGGCAGAGCGCUCACUCAGCCAUGAAUCAGACCUGUCAAUAGCUGCCUGUUUUCUCAACAGGUGACUUAAACAGGCGCACAGUUCGUUCCCAGCACCCUGUGCGCUGCACAAAAAGCCACCCUGGGCUUCUGCGCCAGCGUGUAGGGAGGUACACAUUCAGGGUGGGGAAAUAACUGUUUAUGGGCUUGAAUGACAUUCAAAACUUUGUACUUUCAUAUUUUUUCUAACCAAAAACAUUAGCUCUAUCUACUACUGAUUUUCAAACAAAAUUUUAUCCUAAGUUAAAAAUCUGGAACAGAGUGAAUCAAAGAACUGCAACAUAGAAAGGAACUUUGGAGAGAGCUGACAUCAAACCUCUCCUUUUACAGAUGAGGAAACUGAAGCCUACAGCAAUUGCAGUGAUUUACUAAAGGUCACAUAUUUAAUGAUUUAAUGAUAACUUAAAAUUAGAACAUGCAUUUUCUCAUUCCUCUGUGCAGUAUUAGUUGUCUUUAAGAAACAAACAAGAACUAGGUUUCUUUUAGCAAUAUAAAAAACACUCAAGGAAAGACAACUGUUAAACUGGGCAAAAUCUGAUAGCUCAAU